rnacentral:rRNA from 1 species
CACGGGGGGAGCAAGCGUUGUUCGGAAUCACUGGGCGUAAAGGGCGUGUAGGCGGUCAGGUAAGUGAGAUGUGAAAUGCCCCGGCUCACCCGGGGACCGGCAUCUCAUACUGCUUGACUUGAGUACGGGAGAGGAUGUGGGAAUUCCUGGUGUAGCGGUGAAAUGCGUAGAUAUCAGGAGGAACACCGGUGGCGAAGGCGGCGACCUGGGUAGAUAUUGACGCUGAUGCGUGAAAGCCAGGGGAGCAAACGGG